GAUGAACGCUGGCGGCGUGCCUAAUACAUGCAAGUCGAGCGAACAGACGAGUAGCUUGCUCCUCUGACGUAAGCGGCGGACGGGUGAGUAACACGUGGAUAACCUCCCUAUAAGACUGGGAUAACAUCGGGAAACCGGAGCUAAUACCGGAUAAUAUAUUGAACCGCAUGGUUCAAUAGUUAACGACGGUGUUGCUGUCACUUAUAGAUGGAUCCGCGCCGCAUUAGCUAGUUGGUAAGGUAACGGCUUACCAAGGCAACGAUGCGUAGCCGACCUGAGAGGGGGAUCGGCCACACUGGAGCUGAGACGCGGUCCAGGCUCCUACGGGAGGCAGCAGUAGGGAAUCGGCCGCAAUGGGCGAGAGCCUUACGGAGCAACGCCGCGUGAGUGAUGAAGGUCUUCGGAUCGUAAAACUCUGUUAUUAGGGAAGAACAAAUGUGUAAGUAACUAUGCACGUCUUGACGGUACCUAAUCAGAAAGCCACGGCUAACUACGUG
rnacentral:rRNA from 1 species